UUUUUUUAUAGUUUAUUUUAGUACAUAUAUAUAUCGAAAUAUAUAACAAAAUAUAUAUAACAAAAAUAUUUUAUAUGGUUUUAGUUAAUAUGCUCAAUAACAUACACUGAUUAAUCACGCACAUUAAGCGUAGGAACACAAAUGUGUCAAAUAUGUUUGAUGUUAUUUGAAAACUCUCUCUUACCGUGGAAUUUGAGUGCAUGAAACUACUGCAGUCUGUACCUGUAAGGCUGGUCCACAGCUGUCAUUGCAACAGCUCUCUGGAGCAGGUUGUUUACAAAGAGUGACUCUGUAUGACUCUAUUACUGUAGAUUACUGUAAUGCCGGGCCCAGUACUGAGCCACAGCAUUGAGAAGCACAAACAGACUCUCUCUCUUUCCCUGACAGCAGGAAUGCUUCACAAAACACUGCAAAAGCAUGCUCGUUUGGACUGGCUCCAGGUUUGCUCUCUAUCCAGAGACCAACAGCCAAAGGAACAUGAGGGGAGUUUUCAGGUCAAGAAACCUCUGAAUUCACUGCAAAACACAAUAUUCUUAUUUAGUAUUUUUGUCUUUGCAAUAAGGUUCAUCGGUUAACAACAUUAGUAAACAUGAACAAAGAACAAACGAUACUUUUACAGCAUUUAUUAAUCUUAAUGUAAAUUUUUCCAUGUACUAAUGCGUUAUUAAAAACAAAAGUUGUGUUUGUUAACAUUAGUUAAUGCACUGUGAACUAACAUGAAUAAACAAUACAGUAUUUUCAUUAAAUAACAUUAAUAAAGAUAAAAACAUAAUGUAAUAAAUGCUUUUUUUAUUGUUUGUUGAUGUUAUUUAAUAUAUCAACUCAAACAAUAUGACAACUUAUUGUAAAGUGUUACUGAAUUUUCUCCUCGUCAUGACUCGAAAUAUCAAAAUUAUGUGAAUUUAUGCAUUAAACACAAACUUAAUUUAAAGGGGAAACAAGGUUAUUUCUUGUUUUUAGAAAAAAAAAUAUUUUGAUAAAUAUUAAGACAAGAUUUAAAGGAUUAAAAAUUUAAAUGGACUAAAAAUGACUCACUCUCAGGACAUCUAAGAUAUAGAUGAGUUUUUGUCUUUAUUGCAAUAUAUUUGGAGACAUUUAGCAAUACUUUCCUGCUCAUCAAUAGAUCCUCUGCAGUGAAUGGGUGCCGUCACAAUGAGAGUCCAAAGAGAUGAUGAAAACAUCACAGGGUAGAAGGAUAGAAGACUCACAUUUCAGCCAGAAGAAAUGGUUUUAAAUUAAAAAUGUCUCAACAACGAAUUAGUUUUAUUACAAACGCACAGCUUUUCAUUUCACAUGACUUUAAUUGACGGACUGGAGUCAUGUAGAUAAUUGUGAUGUUUUUAUCAUCUGUUUGGGCUCUCGUUCCGGCGGCACCCAUUCACUGCAGAGGAUCCAUUGGUGAGCAAGUGACGCAACGCUUUGGAUUUCUCCAAAUCUGCUCUGAUUAAGAAACAAACUCGUCCACAUUUCGGACGGGCCUCGGGGUGAGUAAAGUUCAUCACGCGUCAAUAAGAAUAAAUACGUCACACCGAGUUAAGAUUAAAGAUCUUUACUUGAACCGAAAGUACAGUGAAGAAAUAUUCUUGUUCGUCUUGGAAGACAAAAUGUCUGUUUGUGAAACUGGUGUCAUCAACAAUGCAUACAUUAAUGGCCGAUAAUGGACGCGCGGUGGAUUCUGAAGCGUCAUGUACAGUUUGUACAUUGAUGGCCAUUUUAAUCGCAUGACGCUUGCAAAUGCAGCUGACACUUAAGAUCAAGCAUAUCUACGAGAGAACAGAACUACAGAAAUUAUCAUGUAAAAAGCUUUUUUUCUUUUUUUUUUUUAAAAUGAACAUCAUUCAGAAAGCCCAACAGCUUGUUUUCGUCGUCCACGAUAAUGUUACACGCUCCCAGCCUUGGAUCAUCUCGACGUCUCUGUGCUCCUGCCAAAAGAUUCUCUCUCUCACUUUCUCUCUCUCUCUCUCUCACUCUCUCUCUCUCUCUCUCUCUCCCCCGCGCCGUUCUUCAUUGUUCUUCGGAAGAACGGUUAAACCUCCUGAGGGGGAAAUUCGGCGCAGCUGCAGUUUGCGAUGAGAGCGCGUCUGUUGCUUUUGCACACAGCGAGCUCAAUGGAGUGCUGCGUCACGUCGAAGCGCACUGGCAUCUUUGGGCCCUCAACACUCCUCCCUCCUCCCGUUCAUUCCACCCUUUCCCAACAAGCAUACAGAGCAAUGUCAAACCAACAUUUUGUUUGUGCAAAGGCAACAUUUUGUUUAUGAGAAUAUAACAACAAUAAAAACACAAAGUCUCAGCCAAAAAUGAAAAACAAAAAGUACAAUAGUGCAAUUUUUCAGUUUUUUUUUUUGAACCUUCCUCUCCUCCUCGGGAUUGUCCGUGUGGUUUUUCUUAAGGACAGACGGUUAGUGGCGGCUCCGUCUCGUGUUGCUCCUGCCCGAGUUCACUCGGCUCUGCUCACGCAAAAGCAGGUCCCAGC